rnacentral:rRNA from 1 species
GGGGAAUAUUGCACAAUGGGCGCAAGCCUGAUGCAGCGACGCCGCGUGCGGGAUGACGGCCUUCGGGUUGUAAACCGCUUUUGAUCGGGAGCAAGCCUUCGGGUGAGUGUACCUUUCGAAUAAGCACCGGCUAACUACGUGCCAGCAGCCGCGGUAAUACGUAGGGUGCAAGCGUUAUCCGGAAUUAUUGGGCGUAAAGGGCUCGUAGGCGGUUCGUCGCGUCCGGUGUGAAAGUCCAUCGCUUAACGGUGGAUCUGCGCCGGGUACGGGCGGGCUGGAGUGCGGUAGGGGAGACUGGAAUUCCCGGUGUAACGGUGGAAUGUGUAGAUAUCGGGAAGAACACCAAUGGCGAAGGCAGGUCUCUGGGCCGUUACUGACGCUGAGGAGCGAAAGCGUGGGGAGCGAACAGGAUUAGAUACCCUGGUAGUCCACGCCGUAAACGGUGGAUGCUGGAUGUGGGGCCCGUUCCACGGGUUCCGUGUCGGAGCUAACGCGUUAAGCAUCCCGCCUGGGGAGUACGGCCGCAAGGCUAAAACUCAAAGAAAUUGACGGGGGCCCGCACAAGCGGCGGAGCAUGCGGAUUAAUUCGAUGCAACGCGAAGAACCUUACCUGGGCUUGACAUGUUCCCGACAGCCGUAGAGAUACGGCCUCCCUUCGGGGCGGGUUCACAGGUGGUGCAUGGUCGUCGUCAGCUCGUGUCGUGAGAUGUUGGGUUAAGUCCCGCAACGAGCGCAACCCUCGCCCUGUGUUGCCAGCACGUCAUGGUGGGAACUCACGGGGGACCGCCGGGGUCAACUCGGAGGAAGGUGGGGAUGACGUCAGAUCAUCAUGCCCCUUACGUCCAGGGCUUCACGCAUGCUACAAUGGCCGGUACAACGGGAUGCGACAUGGCGACAUGGAGCGGAUCCCUGAAAACCGGUCUCAGUUCGGAUUGGAGUCUGCAACCCGACUCCAUGAAGGCGGAGUCGCUAGUAAUCGCGGAUCAGCAACGCCGCGGUGAAUGCGUUCCCG